AGAGUUUGAUCCUGGCUCAGGAUGAAUGCUGGCGGCGUGCCUAACACAUGCAAGUCGAACGGACUCAUAUUGAAACCUAGUGAUUUAUGAGUUAGUGGCGGACGGGUGAGUAACGCGUGGAAAACCUGCCGUAUACCGGGGGAUAACACUUAGAAAUAGGUGCUAAUACCGCAUAAGCGCACAGCUUCGCAUGAAGCAGUGUGAAAAACUCCGGUGGUAUGGGAUGGAUCCGCGUCUGAUUAGCUAGUUGGCGGGAUAGAGGCCCACCAAGGCGACGAUCAGUAGCCGACCUGAGAGGGUGGCCGGCCACAUUGGGACUGAGACACGGCCCAGACUCCUACGGGAGGCAGCAGUGGGGAAUAUUGCACAAUGGGGGAAACCCUGAUGCAGCGACGCCGCGUGAGUGAAGAAGUAAUUCGUUACGUAAAGCUCUAUCAGCAGGGAAGAGAGUGACGGUACCUGAGUAAGAAGCCCCGGCUAACUACGUGCCAGCAGCCGCGGUAAUACGUAGGGGGCAAGCGUUAUCCGGAUUUAUUGGGCGUAAAGCGAGCGCAGGCGGAAAGAUAAGUCUGAUGUGAAAGCCCCCGGCUUAACCGAGGAAUUGCAUCGGAAACUGUGUUUCUUGAGUGCAGAAGAGGAGAGUGGAACUCCAUGUGUAGCGGUGGAAUGCGUAGAUAUAUGGAAGAACACCAGUGGCGAAGGCGGCUCUCUGGUCUGUAACUGACGCUGAGGCUCGAAAGCAUGGGUAGCGAACAGGAUUAGAUACCCUGGUAGUCCAUGCCGUAAACGAUGAGUGCUAAGUGUUGGGAGGUUUCCGCCUCUCAGUGCUGCAGCUAACGCAUUAAGCACUCCGCCUGGGGAGUACGACCGCAAGGUUGAAACUCAAAGGAAUUGACGGGGGCCCGCACAAGCGGUGGAGCAUGUGGUUUAAUUCGAAGCAACGCGAAGAACCUUACCAGCCCUUGACAUCCUGCUGGCAGCCCGGUAAUGCGGGCUUUCCUACGGGACAGCAGAGACAGGUGGUGCAUGGUUGUCGUCAGCUCGUGUCGUGAGAUGUUGGGUUAAGUCCCGCAACGAGCGCAACCCCUGCUUACAGUAGCCAGCAGCAAGGCUGGGCACUCUGUAAGGACUGCCGGGGAUAACCCGGAGGAAGGCGGGGAUGACGUCAAAUCAGCACGGCCCUUACGUCCGGGGCGACACACGUGUUACAAUGGGUGGUACAGCGGGAAGCCAGGCGGCGACGCCGAGCGGAACCCGAAAUCCACUCUCAGUUCGGAUCGGAGUCUGCAACCCGACUCCGUGAAGCUGGAUUCGCUAGUAAUCGCGCAUCAGCCAUGGCGCGGUGAAUACGUUCCCGGGCCUUGCACACACCGCCCGUCA
rnacentral:rRNA from 1 species